UCUCUUCUCUUCUCUUCUCUUCUCUUCUCUUCUCUUCUCUUCUCUUCUCUUCUCUUCUCUUCUCUUCUCUUCUCUUUUCUCUUCUCCAGCACAGAUGUGGUUUGUAUGGGGCUGCAACCACCCCAGUUUCGCCCUCCCCUGGAGGAGCCUCCUGGUGUAUCUCAUGGCUCUCCACCUCCUCCGUCUGGAAUCAGGUAGGGGUCCUGUGGGCUGCUGUGCCUGGCAGAGAUGUUGCUGUGGGGCAGGGGAACGGCCAUGGGGCAGGGAGGACCCAAGACCAGCAUCCAGCCCUGGUAGGCUUCCACUUUCACUUCAGCUAUUUCAUGAAAUACAUGAUUUGGGGUAGAAUUUCUGACUCUUCUUCACCUCCACCACUCAUGACUAGGCUCCCACCCCCAGGAAUCCUUCUCCACUCCCUCCUGCUCCCACUCCAGUUGUUUUAGAUGGGAUGUAGUGCGCACCAGCUCUCCCUUUGCUGCUCCAUGCCCCCACAUUAACGCAGGCACCAUCUCACCAUCUCUCCAUGCCCCUCUUAUUGUCCAGCCCAGCUCUGGGUGGUUGCACUGAGCCUCCCUGUCACUGCCACUGUGGGACAGGAUGUCGUGCUGCACUGCCACUUGUCCCCUCAGUUCAGGAGUACUCUGAGGUCUCCCUGUGGGUGCUGUGGGAUGAGAUGUUCCUCUAUUCACACACUAUUUCUGCUUUUCCUUUGCAGAUUUAAGUGCUGCAGAUCUGAAUAAGUCUCCCUCCAUACACUGAAGGAAUCAGGAGCCUUCCCAUGGGAUCAGCCAUGGGAUGAUAAUCUGACCCUUCUCAUCAUGCAUUUCUUGUUUGUUUCUUUGGCAGAGAAACAAGUUGCGGAACUGGGUGAGUCCUUCCUCCCAAAUUAGAAGAAAAAAAGAGGGUCUGCCUGUGUGAGCUGUGGGAUGAGAUGUUCAUCUCAUCAUGUGUUGCUUUUCCCUUUCUUUUCCAGUGGUUGAAAUUGAAAAAGUGGAGAAAGGGAAUUCCCAACUGAGUAAGUUGCAGUCACUAAACUGAGGGAAUCUGGGGUCUUCCCAAGGGACUAUGUGUGGGAUGAAAAAUCCUCUCUGGGCAUGCACUGCAUUUCUCUUUCUUUUCCAGAGGAACAGUAUGAAGUGAUGGAUUUAAGUGCUGCAGAUCUGAAUAAGUCUCCCUCCAUACACUGAAGGAAUCAGGAGUCUUCCCAUGGGAUCAGCCAUGGGAUGAUAAUCUGACCCUUCUCAUCAUGCAUUUCUUAUUUGUUUCUUUGGCAGAGAAACAAGUUGCAGAACUGGUGCAAUGAACUGAAGAAUUGGAAAUCAAUCUGAAGAUUUGGACUGAGAGAUGUAUUGUGCCUUGCAAUAACCAUAGGAAUCAAGCUUACUAGACUGUUGAUUGCACAGGAUACCAAAACCCUGAUAACUUGAAGUGGGCAAUGAAAACCACAACAGGAACAAAACGAGCUGGUGUUUACAUUGAGUGAGAACACCUACAUUUUUGUCCAAAAGUUCCCUGAGGGACCAUAGAACUGAGGAUGCACGACCUCCAACUCAUAUUCAGUUAGAAUGAAGAAACCAUAUAACGGAAGAAAAUGGGCGGAAGAUGGAGUUCCUGGAAAAGAGGUGGACAUUUUGGGAAAUAGUAUGAUCAUCUAUCAGGUUUCAUGGAAAUCUAAUGAAUAUGUAAUGCUUUUGGAAAUAAAAGCAUGCACACAGAAGCAAAGGUAGAAAACUGCUUUGGGAGUUAACCCCAUUGUCUCUCACAAUUUAAUGAAGAAUACCUGCUGAUGAUAAUCAGUUAUUGAUUGUUAUCAGUUAUUGGGUGUUUGGUUCCAUGAAACAGGAUGACUCUUCAUUCUCAAACAAGAGGAACAUGGGGUCUGGCUAUCAGAUAACAAGCUGACCCUUCUCACCAUGCAUUGCUUUUCCAGCAGAACAAGUCUCCCUCCAGUAAGCACUCCCAGCUGCAAUUCCUGAAAUAAAAAUUGAGAACUAGCCCCACUUCCCUAAAUUCCUUUCCAACAUGAACAGUAAGUAUAAUGAAUAUCGUUUUUUCAAAGUAGUUUUGAUUCCCCCAGCUCAGAGUCUUCCCCCAUCUGCUUUCAGAGAAGAUGUCGUUGAAGACAAUAGAAUUAAAGACAAGUCAAUAUGCUCACUGUAAUUGUUUUUUAUUUACCAUGAGAAAGAGUUUAAGUGCAUAACUGUGGACGGCCCAAAGAUAGGUUGACCUGAUAUUUAAAAUUACUUUUGCAUAACGCUGAACGUUGCCUUGAGAAAACUACCUCUGAGUUCUGUCCUACAUGACUCACAGUAAUAAACCACUAAUUCUAUAUAUCAAAUUGAGUCAAAAAACAAAGUCAGAGAUUUUAUCAAAAUAAGUCACACAGAAACAAAAGGAGGGUUAUUUGAACUGAACUCAUUGUAACUAUUCAGCUUUAUGGGACUCACAUUAAAUAAAAAGCUUAAUACAAGUGUAGGAAAAAAUAAUAUAACUUGGAAAAUAUUGUAGCAAAGGAAAUGGUGUUUGCUAAAGUUUUAUCUGUAUUUCAAGGGAAAAUGCAGGAUAGAUGACAACUAACUAUUCUGAAUGAUCCAAGUCAGUUACCCUCUAAAUGUUGGUCACCAGCUCACAUGAGCUGCUUAACCUGUAGUGGCAGUUUGCAACUACCACACAAGUGACUAAGUAUUUCUGAUUGCCUGUGUUCACAGUUGCAACACUGCAGGUAAAUGCAGUGCUGGCAAACAAAAUUCAAGCAUGAUCUAAAGAAUAACUAAAAUAAUAGAAAAGAAUAUUUCACUCAAAUCAACAAUGUAUAAGCAGAUAAAUGCGUGAUAAUCAUUCAUAUGAAAUUUUCAAAUAGAGCAAGCUCAAUAUAUUUCAGAGAUCUGAUAGACUUGUGUAAAAUAUAUUGCUUCAUCUUCCAUUGAGAAGAUAUCCUCAAAGCAAAAGCCUGUUCAAAAACAUGGAGACAAAUAGGCUCUUAAUACAGUUAUCUAAUGAAUGUUGUCAUGAGGCAGGAUGUUCAGAUAUAUGAGCAAAGCAAUGAAUCUCAGAAAGCAUUUUACAGAGGAAUAAAAUGCUGUAUGUUGGAGGAAUGCAGCAGAUGUUAUAAUUGCUCCAUGCUAUCAUGUGGAACAAAACCUAGCAGCUGUGCAUGCUAUGAAAAUGAAAUUAAUUAAGGAGAACACUAGCAGUGCCUCUGUCAGUAUCAAAAUACUAACAUAGUUCAGGCAUAUUUCAAAAGAGAACACUUCCCAGAAUUCUACCCAGAAUUGCACUCCUGGCUCAAAAGCAAUCAUGUAGGAUGCUAGAGCAGCCACAAGUGCUUUUUUGAAGCAGACUUGUGGGCUAACCCUAGCAGGUAGCUAAGCACCAUGUAGCAGCUUGCUCUUUCCACCCAGUGGGAUGGGGAAGAGAAUCAGAAGAAAGAGUGAGAAAAUUCAUGGGUCAAGAUAAAAGCAGUUCAACAGAUCGAGCAAAAGUCAUGCACAUAAGCAAAGCAAUACAAGAAAUUCAUUUGCUCCUUUCCAUUGGCAGGCAGACAUUCAGCCACUCCCAGGAAAGCAGGGCUCUUUACACAUAACAAUUUCUGGGGAAGAUAAGCGCCAUCACUCUGAACAUCAUCCCUCCUUCUUACCUCCAGCUUUUAUUGCUGAGCACAAUACCAUACAGCAUGGGACAUUCCUUUGGCCAAUCUGAGUCAGCUCUCUUGUUUCUGUCUCCUCCCUGCUCCCUGUGCCCCCCACCUUCUUGCUGGCAGGGCAAAGUGAGGAGCAGGAAAGUUCUCGGCUCUAGGUAAGCACUGCUCUGCAACAACUAAACCAUCAGUGUGUUAUCAGCUCUGUUUGGGUCACAAAUCCAAAACAGCACUGUACUAUCUACUACGAAAAAAUUAACGCAACCACAGCUAAAACCAGUACAUAGACUAAAGAAAAUGAAAUUGACAAAAAAUUAAGCUAAAUGCAAGGGUUCUCUUUCCACUCCUCUGCAAAUGCUGGUUAAGGAAUGAAAAGCCAUACAGUCAAUCAGAGAGGUCAAAAGUCUGGACAGAAUUAUUGAUUUUAUUGGAAGUUUGUGAUGAAGCCAUUGAAGAGGAAACUCCUGAUACUUGGCUCCUCUUCUCCCAUUCAUACAGAGGAGAAGCUUGCAUCUGGAAGAGCCAUUCGUUAUGCUUUUGGAAAUCCUGUAAGAAAACUGGAAAAAGUGGAUCAUGUUUCAAAACUAUGAAAACUGUUACAUUUUCCUGCCUCUGUUCUGGGAUGUAUUUCAAACAUUAUUUCAGUGAAAGACUGAAGGACACAUGCUCCUGUUAUGUUACAAACACCACUCGAUUUGGGGAAUAGCAAUACAUCUCCAACUUUUCAUGUUACUUUCAAUGCGGAACCGAGCAAGGACUUCACAUAUUGCGGAGAAACUGCUUCUAAGCAAUGAAAGAACCAUCAACAGCCAUUAACACUGGAUGGAUACAGUGAGAGGAAAAAGAGUGAGAGGCUUGCCACAGGAGAGUCUGAUAUGAAAGCCCUCUGUGGAAAACACUGCAGAAAGAAGGGGAGAGGAGAGAAAUGAGAUAAGUUUCCAGAGAUUCUGUGAAAGAUGGAGCAGAAAAAGUGUCAUGUCUUUAAAUGAUGUAUGUACACUCCUGAAUCCUUCUUUGUGCCAAUGUGACCUCUUAGUAAACUCUGUGAGGGAACAGAGUCGGCUGAGAAAUGACCUACCCCAAAAAGUUAAGGUAGCAGUGCAUAGCAGUGACAGCUAUGAAUACUCUUGAGUGAUGAAGGCUGGAUGACAACAAAGGUAUACUCCUGACAUGAGAAGAGAUAUGCACAAAACUUUGAGAGACUCCAUAUCCCUCAAGGAUGAUGAUCAAACUGGCUUUGUUGAACAAGACCUUCAGUAUAAACACA